GAUGAAGAACGUAGCGAAAUGCGAUAAGUAAUGUGAAUUGCAGAAUUCAGUGAAUCAUCGAAUCUUUGAACGCACAUUGCGCCCGCCAGUAUUCUGGCGGGCAUGCCUGUCCGAGCGUCAUUUCAACCCUCGCGCCCAUCUGGGCUGCGGUGUUGGGGACCGGCCUGCCCCCCCGGGCGCGCCGCCCCCCAAAUUCAGUGGCGGUCUCGCUGCAGCCUCCCUUGCGUAGUAGCACACCUCGCACCGGAGCGCAGCGCGGCCACGCCGUAAAACCCCCGACCCCCAUGAGUUUGACCUCGGAUCAGGUAGGAAUACCCGCUGAACUUAAGCAUAUCAAUAAGCGGAGGA
rnacentral:misc_RNA from 1 species